rnacentral:tRNA from 1 species
GGGCUGGAGCUCAGUGGUAGAGCGCUUGCCUAGCAUGUGUGAGGCACUGGGUUAGAUCCUCAGCACCACA